rnacentral:rRNA from 1 species
CAUUACUGAGUUUACGCUCUAUAACCCUUUGUGAACAUACCUAUAACUGUUGCUUCGGCGGGUAGGGUCUCCGCGACCCUCCCGGCCUCCCGCCUCCGGGCGGGUCGGCGCCCGCCGGAGGAUAACCAAACUCUGAUUUAACGACGUUUCUUCUGAGUGGUACAAGCAAAUAAUCAAAACUUUUAACAACGGAUCUCUUGGUUCUGGCAUCGAUGAAGAACGCAGCGAAAUGCGAUAAGUAAUGUGAAUUGCAGAAUUCAGUGAAUCAUCGAAUCUUUGAACGCACAUUGCGCCCGCCAGCAUUCUGGCGGGCAUGCCUGUUCGAGCGUCAUUUCAACCCUCAAGCUCUGCUUGGUGUUGGGGCCCUACAGCUGAUGUAGGCCCUCAAAGGUAGUGGCGGACCCUCCCGGAGCCUCCUUUGCGUAGUAACUUUACGUCUCGCACUGGGAUCCGGAGGGACUCUUGCCGUAAAACCCCCCAAUUUUCCAAAGGUGACCUCGGAUCAGGUAGGAAUACCCGCUGAACUUAAGCAUAUCAA